ACCGCCGCGGCCGGGCCCUGGCGCGGGCGCUGACCACGUGACCCGGCAGGGCUCGCUGCGGGUAGCAAUGGCCAGGGUGGCGCGCGGAGGGCACGCUGCGCUCGCGGAGCGUCAAACUCCGCGCCGGUGCGCGCGGGCAGCGCCGCGACGCCUGUUCUGGCACGCGGGGCAGGGGCUGGUGUGCGCGUGCAGCCAUCCUGAGAAAUGUUUAUCCAGCACCACCACCUGCUUCGGUGACUUUCAUAUCAGUACAGUCUCGGUGCUACUGCGGGAAGAGUUCAAAUGCGAAAGCUCCGUUGUCUGAUGAUGGAAGGGUCUGCUCCUACUCCCAUUGAUUUACACAGCUGUGUAAUUGUUUAUAUGGUGAUCGUACUGCAGAUUCAGAAUUCCAGCAGGCUGUUGGUGAAGCUGCCAUUUUGAGACAGAUUGAUGCAGCAUGUUACGGAAGUCACACGCUCAUAUCGAGACUUUACUUUUACUUACUAUAUUUGUACUGCAGCACAGCUAGGAGCCUGACUCAUGGCAGACCAAGUAUUUUGAGGUGCUGAAUAAAUGCAAAAUAAAUUAUGUUUUGUUGUCACUUUAUCUAAAUUCUGUCAGGCAAAGUAUAUAGUUGCUCUUUGUGCCUAGAAAAACAUAGUAGAAAGCAGCAGACAGUGAGGAUGCUUGCUGCCUCCAGGGAUUGGGUCCAGACAGCUGGAUCCUGCUUGCCUUGUUCACACAAGUAGUGAGGUUAACUUAAAUGGGACCACCAUUCUGAUCCAGGCAAGCAGGAUUCACACCUAAAUUUGUAACGUGUGAUAGGAGAAGUCAACAUUUUUGAUAAUGUAGAAGGUGAAAUGAAAUGAGUGCUGUCUAGAAUUUUCACUCUUCCCCUCUGUUUUGUUCAAAUAAAGCCAAGCUUAACUAUUCAAAUCCAAAAAAAAAAAAAAAAAAGUGCCUGAACUGCAAUAUUUUCUAAAAUGCCCAUGACUGGAUGCAAAGUGCAAGAAGUGAUAAAACAAGAUUUAAAAAGUUAUACUGAUGCAAACAAAAAAAAGUUGGUCAUUUUAACACCACAAGUUAGCCCUAAUUAACAAGCACUGUAGGAGACAGAUGCUUGCUAAUAAAAUCAAUCAAGUUUUACGUCUGAUUGUAAUAUAACCCCUACCUGACUUUUCUGAUUUUUAAAAAAAUAAACACACUGCAUUACAUCACUAGACAAAGCAUAAAAAGUAAAACUGACCUCUUAAAUAGCCCUGUACAGACUGUCACUAAUUAAUCCUCAAAACACAGUUGAGGUUAAGUAUCUCACUUUUACAGACAGAGCAAUGGAGGGAGAGCGCCAAAAUUCAUCAUCAAGGGCAGAGGUGAUAGAACAGUUUUUCUAGUGCAGGUGCUGAGAGCCAGUGAACCAACCUG